rnacentral:rRNA from 1 species
UACAGAGGUGGCAAGCGUUGUCCGGAAUUACUGGGCGUAAAGAGCUCGUAGGUGGUUUGUCGCGUUGUUCGUGAAAACCGGGGGCUUAACCCUCGGCGUGCGGGCGAUACGGGCAGACUUGAGUACUGCAGGGGAGACUGGAAUUCCUGGUGUAGCGGUGGAAUGCGCAGAUAUCAGGAGGAACACCGGUGGCGAAGGCGGGUCUCUGGGCAGUAACUGACGCUGAGGAGCGAAAGCGUGGGGAGCGAACAGG